CCUACGGGGGGCAGCAGUGGGGAAUAUUGGACAAUGGGGGCAACCCUGAUCCAGCCAUGCCGCGUGUGUGAAGAAGGCCCUCGGGUUGUAAAGCACUUUCAGUGAGGAAGAACGCCUGGUGGUUAAUACCCAUCAGGAAAGACAUCACUCACAGAAGAAGCACCGGCUAACUCCGUGCCAGCAGCCGCGGUAAUACGGAGGGUGCGAGCGUUAAUCGGAAUUACUGGGCGUAAAGCGCGCGUAGGUGGCUUGAUAAGCCGGUUGUGAAAGCCCCGGGCUCAACCGGGGAACGGCAUCCGGAACUGUCAAGCUAGAGUGCAGGAGAGGAAGGUAGAAUUCCCGGUGUAGCGGUGGAAUGCGUAGAGAUCGGGAGGAAUACCAGUGGCGAAGGCGGCCCUCUGGACUGCCACUGACGCUGAGGUGCGAAAGCGUGGGUAGCGAACAGGAUUAGAUACCCCGGUAGUC
rnacentral:rRNA from 1 species